rnacentral:rRNA from 1 species
GUGAGGAAUAUUGGUCAAUGGGCGGGAGCCUGAACCAGCCAAGUCGCGUGAAGGAAGAAGGAUCUAUGGUUCGUAAACUUCUUUUGCAGGGGAAUAAAGUGCAGGACGUGUCCUGUUUUGUAUGUACCCUGAGAAUAAGGAUCGGCUAACUCCGUGCCAGCAGCCGCGGUAAUACGGAGGAUCCGAGCGUUAUCCGGAUUUAUUGGGUUUAAAGGGUGCGUAGGUGGUUUGAUAAGUCAGCGGUGAAAGUUUGCAGCUUAACUGUAAAAAUGCCGUUGAAACUGUCGGACUUGAGUGUAAAUGAGGUAGGCGGAAUGUGUGGUGUAGCGGUGAAAUGCAUAGAUAUCACGCAGAACUCCGAUUGCGAAGGCAGCUUACUAAGCUACAACUGACACUGAAGCACGAAAGCGUGGGGAUCGAACAGGAUUAGAAACCCCGGUAGUCC